rnacentral:rRNA from 1 species
GUUUAUGGCCAUGCCACCCUGAACACGCCCGAUCCUAUCUGAUCUCAGAAGCUAAGCAGGGUUGGACCUGGUUGGUACUCGGAUGGGAGAUCACCUAAGAAUACCAGGUGCUGUAGGUG